UACGGAGGGGGCGAGCGUUAUUCGGAAUUAUUGGGCGUAAAGGGCGCGUAGGCGGCUUGACAAGUCAAAGGUGAAAUCCCUCGGCUCAACUGAGGAACUGCCUUUGAAACUGUCUGGCUUGAGGCCGGGAGGGGGUAGCGGAAUUCCCAGUGUAGCGGUGAAAUGCGUAGAUAUUGGGAGGAACACCAGUGGCGAAGGCGGCUACCUGGACCGGUUCUGACGCUGAUGCGCGAAAGCGUGGGUAGCUAACAGG
rnacentral:rRNA from 1 species